UGUCUCUUGUAACAAACAAGGUCCCUCAAAACUUAUAUACUUUCUGGUUAAAAAAAAAAAAAAAAAAACUCAUAUACUUACCCUAACGUAAAUGUUCCACUCCUCCGUUCCUAGGACCAAUCAUAGGCUACCAUCCGUUUGAACAAAAAUGUUACCUUCAAAGAAUCACAUUUCAAGUUUCAAAACUGAAGCAAAAAUAUGUCAGGGCAUCCCCAUCAUCUAUCACUUCAUAUCACAACAACCAUAGAUCAAAUUUUUUAAGAGUCAAAUCUAGACCAAAUAGGAAAAACAUUGUAACUGCAGAAGCCCCUAGCUUUACAAUUUGGCACCGAACUCAAACAAGCAUGUAGAUCCAUUACGAUCAAAUUUCCGCAAAGCUCAUCACUUCUCCUCGCUUCAAUGAGUCCGAGUAUGUUAAAACUAUAAUAUACAUGAUCGAAUUGGAAUUUCCUUCGUUUUACGACAAUGGCAGGAAACAUGAUUUUGACGUUUGCAUCAUGGAGGCUUUCUUUGUAUAAUUAAUCUCUAUUGUACUCAUAGAAAGAAAGAGUUUCGAGCAACCAUUAACCAAAGUUUUCAAGUAAAGUAUGACCAAAUAUAUGAAAUAUUAACUGCAC
rnacentral:lncRNA from 1 species